AGCAGCCGCGGUAAUUCCAGCUCCAAUAGCGUAUAUUAAAGUUGUUGCAGUUAAAAAGCUCGUAGUUGAAUUUCGGGAUCAAUAUGUCGGUCGUGCCUUCGGUACGUACUGGUAUCAUUGGUUUCUCCUUUCUGACGAACCAUGAUGUCAUUAAUUUGGUGUUAUGGGGAGUUAGGACUGUUACUUUGAAAAAAUUAGAGUGUUUAAAGCAGGCUUUAGCUUGAAUACAUUAGCAUGGAAUAAUGAAAUGGGACGUUCGAACCUAUUUUGUUGGUUUCUAGGAUCAACGUAAUGAUUAAUAGGGAUAGUUGGGGGCUUAGUAUUCAAUUGUCAGAGGUGAAAUUCUUGGAUUUAUUGAAGACUAACUACUGCGAAAGCAUUUGCCAAGGAUGUUUUCAUUAAUCAAGAACGAAAGUUAGGGGAUCGAAGACGAUCAGAUACCGUCGUAGUCUUAACCAUAAACUAUGCCGACUAGGGAUCGGAUGAUGUUAAUUUUUAAUUGACUCAUUCGGCGCCUUAC
rnacentral:rRNA from 1 species